rnacentral:piRNA from 1 species
UGGUGCAAAUGCAGUAUUGUAGAGACUGUC